CGCGGGGUGGAGCAGUCUGGUAGCUCGUCGGGCUCAUAACCCGAAGGUCGCAGGUUCAAAUCCUGUCCCCGCAACCAAGG
rnacentral:tRNA from 4 species